rnacentral:hammerhead_ribozyme from 1 species
AUCCAGCUGACGAGUCCCAAAUCUGAUGAAACACUCGUCCUGGAU